rnacentral:tRNA from 1 species
UGAGUUAGCGACCCUUUUAGUUUUUUACUACAAAACAAAUAACAUAGCUAUAUCUUAAAUAGCAAGUAGUGA